AUCCAACUGAAGGAUCCUAAAUAGGAUGAAACAUGUGCCCUGGAU
rnacentral:hammerhead_ribozyme from 1 species